AACGCACCUUGCGCUCCUUGGUAUUCCGAGGAGCAUGCCUGUUUGAGUGUCAUUAAAUUCUCAACCUUUGUUAACUUUUUGGUUAGCAAAUGGCUUGGAUGUGGGGGUAUGCAGGUUUCUCUAUUGAAAUUAGCUCCCCUGAAAUACAUUAGCUGGUUGCCUUGUGUAAACUUGACUAUUGGUGUGAUAAUUAUCUACGCUGUGAUUGUGAAAGCAUUAUGGGAUCUGCUUCUAACUGUCUACUUGUUUAGACAAUUUAUUUAACAUCUGACCUCAAAUCAGGUAGGACUACCCGCUGAACUUAA
rnacentral:rRNA from 1 species